UGGUUGCUGUUUACGAUGUGUUCAUAUAUCGCUUUGUAGUGCUGUAAUGUGCAAAUUAGCGGACUUUAUAGCGGCUCUCUAUUUUCCGUCGUUGUCUUUCGAGCAGCGCCUGUUGUUCCGGUAAAAAUCGAGUUGAAUGAAUCGCCACAGCCCCAACGUAUAUCGCGCAGUGUUGACCAAGACCAAGUCAAGCAGGAAUUCUGGCAUGGUAUGUGGCUGCACGAAAGAUUCCGAAAAAGAAAAACAACAACAUGGCUAAUAGGAUGUUGCUGCCCAGGGAGUCCUGGCGAAGAGGUUUACUCAUUCCAGAAGCAAGAAUUGUAUCAUUGUAAG